UGGUUUUGCCCCCCCAGGCCUAAGGCUGCCAGCCCUCCCCUGUCUGCACUGCUCCCUCACGCGCAGUUUAGUGAUGCCGGGUGUCGGAAUAUGAUGUCAUAUUUUGGUGCCCGGCAUCACUACGGAUGGCGCAUGCGAGGGAGCAGUGAGAAGCAGGAAAGCUGAGCUCCCUCACUGCCGCCAGGAACCUCUCCUCCCUGGCCGGGUAACUUUUAGCAGAGAUGGCACCUGCAAUAUGAAGAAAGUAGGUGCCUAUUCUGCGUUAACACUAAGCAUGCACUCGCGGCUCGGCGGGCCGCAAAGAUAUCCAUUGUGGGACGCAUGCAGCCUGUGGGCCGUGAGUUUGACAUGAUUGUAGUAAGG